ACAGAAGCUUUUUUAAAAGCUACCAUGUUCAUUAUUAAGAUAAGCAU
rfam:Nestor notabilis contig24058, whole genome shotgun sequence.